GAGGGAACGCGGGGAAGUGAAACAUCUCAGUACCCGCAGGAAGAGAAAACAACCGUGAUUCCGGGAGUAGUGGUGAGCGAAACCGGAUGAGGCCAAACCAGUCACGUGUGAUACCCGGCAGGGGUUGCGUGGUUGGGGUUGUGGGAGUUCUCUUGAUCGGUCUGCCGGCCGGUCGGUGAGUCAGAAACCGUUGAUGUAGGCGAAGGACAUGCGAAAGGUCCGGCGUAGAGGGU
rnacentral:rRNA from 1 species